UACGGAGGGUGCAAGCGUUAAUCGGAAUUAUUGGGCGUAAAGGGCGCGUAGGCUGAGAAACAAGUUAGAUGUGAAAACCCGAGGCUCAACUUCGGAUCCGCGUCUAAAACUGUUUAUCUAGAGGGUAGGCGGAGAAAAGGGAAUUCCAAGUGUAGCGGUGAAAUGCGUAGAUAUUUGGAAGAACACCGGUGGCGAAGGCGCUUUUCUAGCUUAAACCUGACGCUGAAGCGCGAAAGUAAGGGGAUCAAAC
rnacentral:rRNA from 1 species